rnacentral:lncRNA from 1 species
GGAUAUCUACUCAGAAUCAGCCUGGAUCAGUUUUCUUUGGUGUAGAUCUUUUUUCUCUAGGAACGAUCACCCUGCGAAUUUAAAUCAAGUCUGGAUUUUGAUCAACUCUUUAAUUCUUUCCUUGAUCUUCUUUUUCUCUUCUUUUCUUGAUCUCUUUUUCUUGAUUUUGCAGCAACUAAGAUCUGAAAAUCAACAAUCAAGAGAUGCU